UACGUAGGGUGCGAGCGUUAAUCGGAAUUACUGGGCGUAAAGCGUGCGCAGGCGGCGCGUUAAGACAGGUGUGAAAGCCCCCGAGCUUAACUUGGGAAUUGCGCUUGUGACUGGCGAGCUGGAGUGUGGCAGAGGGAGGUGGAAUUCCACGUGUAGCAGUGAAAUGCGUAGAGAUGUGGAGGAACACCGGUGGCGAAGGCGGCAUCCUGGACCGACACUGACGCUGGGGAGCGAAAGCCAGGGGAGCAAAGCGGGG
rnacentral:rRNA from 1 species